rnacentral:rRNA from 1 species
UACAGAGGUCCCAAGCGUUGUUCGGAUUUACUGGGCGUAAAGGGUGCGUAGGCGGUGGCGAAAGUCUGAUGUGAAAUCCCCGGGCUUAACCUGGGAACUGCAUUCGAUACUGGGCAGCUAGAGUAUGAGAGAGGGAGGUAGAAUUCCACGUGUAGCGGUGAAAUGCGUAGAUAUGUGGAGGAAUACCGGUGGCGAAGGCGGCCUCCUGGCUUAAUACUGACGCUGAGGUGCGAAAGCGUGGGGAGCAAACAGG